UCAUGUGUAUACAGCGAGUACAGGUAGGGGCUGAGCACACAGCCCAAGGGGAGCCUGUGCUGAACUUCAGGGUGGAAGAUGUAAAGGAACCAACCCUUACUGUUUACGGAUGGUACCAUCAGGAAGUCUUUGAUCCAGUCACAAGUGAGGGGAGGGAAAUUCAGGAAAUGUCCUUGAUUCACAGCUGACCAGGAGGUUGAAGGUGCUAAAAGUCUCAGAUCUCACUUCCAACUUAUGUUCUAUAGCAUCAUGAGAUUCUUGACUAUGAGAAUCCAUUUCCCUUCUAUGCAGGAAACCUAGGAACAAAAAAAGGACCCACCUUUAAUACAGCACAUGCUGAGAAGUUUCCUCUCUUAAGAAUGACUCAUAUCCACUUGGUUAUAA